CAAUAGUUCACUUAGAAGUCACUUACAAAGUGAGGUUGAAUAUACAUUAGAAUCUCUGACCAAAAUUUCUGUAUGGGUCAAUGGCCGUGGAAAGGCACUACAACAGCAAUGACACUCUAGAGGGAACUGUAUCAAAAAUAUAGCAUAUUCUUGAGCAGUUAGGAAUUUUGUGCUUCUCUAAAAAAAAUCUGAGUAGCUAAAAGUUAAGAAGUUGUCCAACUUCUUGAACGAGUUAUCAAAAAGAGUUAUCCAUUUUUUUUUCUUUUUUUUUUUUUUCUUUAUCAAACUCCAAGCAAAGAACUGUGUAAGUGAGUGGGGGCAACACUUCAGCUUUUAGAAAGUAAAAUUCUUUUUAGAAAGUAAAAUUCUAAAGUCUCUUUGCAGAGUUGAAUUCCCUUUAGAGUUUUUUUUUCUUUUCUUUUCCUUUUUUCCCCCUGUUAUUUUUUAUUUUUUAUUUUUAAUAAAUGCCAGUCACAUUACAAGCAAUAAACAUGACAAUAGUCAUUUCCUACAUAUAGUAUAAAAAUAUUGAACAAAUAUAGACUACUGGGAUUUAUUUCUCCCGGAACCAUGGCUGUUGCACUUGACGUCACAGUAGGCGGAAGUCACUGCUGUUUCACCCACUGAGUGGCAGCUUGAAAGCAAAAAACACCACUAAAAUCCUAAAAUGGGAAAGAGCUGUUGUGCGGUUGAUUGUAAAAACAGAUUCAACAAGAAAUCGGAGCUAUCUUUUUACAGACUGCCGAAAGCAAAAGAAAAGAGAAGCAAAUGGAUCGCUGCAAUUCGUAGAAACAACUGGAAUCCAGGCAGCGAAACGUGGAUUUGCAGUUGCCAUUUUGUGUCAGGAAAAAAGAGCGAUGAUCCACUACACCCUGACUAUGUGCCAAGUUUAUUCAGUUUCACCUCCACAACUGAUCGAAGUCGCGCUGUCAGCAACCUGGAAAGAUAUCAACGAUUUCAAGAAGUUUCUGUGAAAAGAUUUGUCAGUGCCAGCACAAGUAAAGAGCUAGCUGCAACAGCUCUCAUGAACCUGUAUCAAAGUUCCGCAUUAAAGAAAGAGGUACAGACGGUUGAAGUCCAAGGCACUGAGGUCCAGACGGAUGAGACACACCGUGACAUCUCCUCUUUACAUGAACAGAUUAAAUCUUUAAACUCUGAAUGUCAAUCACUGAGAGAAAAAGUUCACGAAUUGGAAAGCGAGUUGAAACUUCAUAUACUUGAUCCCUCACAAUUUGAUGACAGCAAAAUGAAAUUUUUCACAGGACUGCCCAGUUUACAGACUUUCAUGCUGUUGUUCAGCUCUGUGUCAUCAGUUGUUCCUGUUACUGCAAAACAGUCGCUCAAGCCUACUCAGGAACUUCUUCUUACACUGAUGAAGCUGCGCCUCAAUCUGUCUGAGGAAUUCUUAGGUCACCUUUUCAGGAUUCAUCAGUCAACGGUAUCAAGAAUUCUUCGACGCUGGAUACAUGUCCGUGGAGCCUUUAAUUCCUUAAAGUAAAAAUAAGGCCUUAAUUAGCAUUAAAAUGUUUGGCUUUAAAAUUGUUUCUAAGAUCUUACAAAUGCAACUGAACCAACACUGGUUUUCACUCACUGCUUUUUAAAAUCAUAAAACCUUGUCACUGUAUUGCAACGACUCGCAGUAAAUGCCAUUUCACACAAACUGUGAGUUUGAGUCACAUUUAAAACACAUUGUGUGCCAGAUUCAUUUAUUUAUUUAUAUUUACAUUAGCUUAAUCUUAAACUUUUUUUAGUAGGCGGAAGUUGACCGCAUUUCACCUGAUUUUUAAAGAGAUGUGAAUUAAAAACUGUUGCCAACUAAAUGGAGAUCUUUGAUUUUCCAUCAAAAUAAAAGCCCCCAAAUCUAAUGCAUGAAAGGGAAUUAUGGCAGAAUUAUAAUAUUAUUGUUAUAUUGCUAUUUGUAUCCCCAGAUAAAAAUGUAUAAUCAUUUUUUUCAGUGCACUAGUAAUAUUACAAGAUUUUUGUUUGUUUGUUUUUUUGUUUUUGUUUUCUUUAAAAAUAAAAACUGUAAAAAAAAAAAAGUGUUAUAUUACCCUGGCAUGAAAAAAAAAAAAAAAACUCCCUUUUAACCUCCCUGUAAUGCUCUGACGAAGACUGAGACUAAUAUUUGUAAAGCAAGCUUGACAAAUAAAAAUGAUACUCUGCA